rnacentral:lncRNA from 1 species
GAUUUGCUGGAGAAGAAAAUGACAAACUUUCUGGAGAGUUAUGGUGCUGGGGGUCACAGAGAGAUGGACACAACUGACCAACAACACCCUACAAUGGAAUAUAACUCUGAUGGAAAAUGACAUGUGGCAAAUACAUAGGAGAAAGGAGAACCUACUGCUAGACCCAUAUUCUAAGAAGAUAAAAGAUAGAAAUAAGGGCAGCUAUCAGACACAGACACCAAAAUAUUUAAAGCAACACUUCAUGGUAGGAAAAAAACUGGAAUCUAAAGUUCAUUGAUUAGAACAUGGCUAAAUAAAUUUACAUGAAUGUGAUAGAAUAUAUUGAUG